UACGUAGGGUGCGAGCGUUAAUCGGAAUUACUGGGCGUAAAGCGUGCGCAGGCGGUUUUGUAAGCCAGAUGUGAAAUCCCCGGGCUUAACCUGGAAAUGGCAUUUGGGACUGCAAGGCUGGAGUGCGGCAGAGGAGACUGGAAUUCCUGGUGUAGCAGUGAAAUGCGUAGAUAUCAGGAGGAACACCGAUGGCGAAGGCAGGUCUCUGGGCUGACACUGACGCUCAUGCACGAAAGCGUGGGGAGCAAACAGG
rnacentral:rRNA from 1 species